rnacentral:rRNA from 1 species
AGAGUUUGAUCCUGGCUCAGAACGAACGCUGGCGGCAGGCUUAACACAUGCAAGUCGAGCGAGACCUUCGGGUCUAGCGGCGGACGGGUGAGUAACGCGUGGGAACGUGCCCUUCUCUACGGAAUAGCCCCGGGAAACUGGGAGUAAUACCGUAUACGCCCUUUGGGGGAAAGAUUUAUCGGAGAAGGAUCGGCCCGCGUUGGAUUAGGUAGUUGGUGGGGUAAUGGCCCACCAAGCCGACGAUCCAUAGCUGGUUUGAGAGGAUGAUCAGCCACACUGGGACUGAGACACGGCCCAGACUCCUACGGGAGGCAGCAGUGGGGAAUCUUAGACAAUGGGGGCAACCCUGAUCUAGCCAUGCCGCGUGAGUGAUGAAGGCCUUAGGGUUGUAAAGCUCUUUCAGCUGGGAAGAUAAUGACGGUACCAGCAGAAGAAGCCCCGGCUAACUCCGUGCCAGCCGCCGCGGUAAUAC